GACGAACGCUGGCGGCGUGCCUAAUACAUGCAAGUCGAGCGGACCGAAGGGAGCUUGCUCCUUUAGGUUAGCGGCGGACGGGUGAGUAACACGUGGGCAACCUGCCCUGCAGACUGGGAUAACUUCGGGAAACCGGAGCUAAUACCGGAUAACACCGAAAACCGCAUGGUUUUCGGUUGAAAGGCGGCCUUCAGCUGUCACUGCAGGAUGGGCCCGCGGCGCAGUAGCUAGUUGGUGAGGUAACGGCCCACCAAGGCGACGAUGCGUAGCCGACCUGAGAGGGUGACCGGCCACACUGGGACUGAGACACGGCCCAGACGCCUACGGGAGGCAGCAGUAGGGAAUCUUCCGCAAUGGACGAAAGUCUGACGGAGCAACGCCGCGUGAGCGAAGAAGGUCUUCGGAUCGUAAAGCUCUGUUGUCAGGGAAGAACAAGUACCGUUCGAACAGGGCGGUACCUUGACGGUACCUGACGAGGAAGCCACGGCUAACUACGUGCCAGCAGCCGCCGUAA
rnacentral:rRNA from 1 species